UGGGGAAUAUUGCGCAAUGGGGGAAACCCUGACGCAGCGACGCCGCGUGCGGGAUGAAGGCCUUCGGGUUGUAAACCGCUGUGGAUUGGGAGCAAGCCUUGGGGGUGAGUGUACCUUUCGAAUAAGCGCCGGCUAACUACGUGCCAGCAGCCGCGGUAAUACGUAGGGCGCAAGCGUUAUCCGGAAUUAUUGGGCGUAAAGAGCUUGUAGGCGGUUCGUCGCGUCAGGUGUGAAAGCCCAUCGCUUAACGGUGGGUUUGGGCCGGGUACGGGCGGGCUAGAGUGCAGUAGGGGAGACUGGAAUUCCCGGUGUAACGGUGGAAUGUGUAGAUAUCGGGAAGAACACCAAUGGCGAAGGCAGGUCUCUGGGCUGUUACUGACGAUGAGAAGCGAAAGCGUGGGGAGCGAACAGG
rnacentral:rRNA from 1 species